ACAGUUUUUUCCUAUAACCCAGUGUCUCUCAGCUGCUGUUGUUCUUUUUUUCAUUAACAUUCAGAUUUAAACAGAGCAUUAUUUAAUCUAUCCCUAGGGGUGGGCGUCUUUAUUCUUCCUUUUGUUUUAUAAGCAUUUUCUUUUCUUUUUUUUUAAACUAAUCAAUUAAUUUAUUUAUAUCCAAAACACUGUCCCCCCCUCUCAGUUCCCCUUCACAGUGUCCCUCCCUUUAUCAUCCUGCCCUUCAUCUCGGAGAGGGCAGCGCCCAUCUCAGCAUGCUACAUCCGAUAGAGGCUAAUAUCCAAUAUAUACAAAGAACUCAAGAAGUUAGACUCCAGAGAAACAAAUAAGCCUAUUAGAAAUGGGGUACAGAGCGAAACAAAGAAUUCUUAACUGAGGAAUACCGAAUGGCUGAGAAGCACUUAAAGAAAUGUUCAACAUCCUUAGUCAUCAGGGAAAUGCAAAUCAAAACAACCCUGAGAUUCCACCUCACACCAGUCUAAAUGGUUAAGAUCAAAAACUCAGAUGACAGCAGAUGCUGGUGAGGAUGUAGAGAAAGAGGAACACUCCUCUAUUGUUCUUGGGAUUACAAGAUGGUUCCACAACUCUGGAAAUCAGUUUGGUGGUUCCUCAGAAAACUGGACAUAGUUCUACCAGAAGAUCCAGCAAUGUCACUCCUGGACAUAUACCCAGAGAGGCUCCAACAUGUAAUAAGGAAACAUGCUCCACUAUGUUCAUUGCAGCUGUAUUUAUAAUAGCCAGAAGCUGGAUAGAAUCCAGAUGUCACUCAACAGAUGAAUGGAUAAAGAAAAUGUGGUACAUUAACACAAUAGUGUACUACUCAGCUAUUAAAAACAAUGAAUUUAUGAAAUUCUUAGGCAAAUGGAUGGACCUGGAGGAUAUCCUGAGUGAGGUAACCCAAUUGCAAAAGAACACACAUGGUAUACAUACUUUAGUUGUCCAAAUUCUGCAAAAUGAAACAUACCCAUAUGCCAUAUUUCAUUUCUUUUGUAUCCCUAGGGUUAGUUCUAGUAGGAAAUAGAGUUUGAUUAUACAAAGAAUGAGCCUACUCAUUCUUUUCUUAUAAUUUCUUUGGCUUGUUAUCAGGUGAUAGAAAGAAUUUUCUUUAAACAUUUCCUGUUAACAUGGUAUUUUUCAUGAAAAUUUUAGGCUUCUAACACAUUUCCUAUUAAUAAUUGAUCAAUUUCUUAAUUCCCUUGGGCUAAUAUACCUGACAAGACUUUGAGACCAAAUAUGAGUGAUAUAUAAUGCAUAGUUUCUAUUUCUGAAUCCCUCUUGCAGCUGUAUAAAUAACAAAGUUAAUUUUGAAUUAUCUGGAAUAAAUUCAGCAGUUGCUAUAUGCAGAACAACUAUUUCUUCAUAUUGAGAGUCAGUAAUUAUAUUAAAGGAUUCAGGAAAAUCUAAUAAUACCAUAAGGACUGCAUACAGCUCUGAUUUUUAAACUUAAGUAUAUGGGCUUUGAAUUAAUUACUUUUAUUUUUCAUAUGAAUAAAAUAUAUAAUAUAAAUGGUAUAGUGUCCCAUUCCCAAAUUCUUUGCAUCAGUAUAGAAUGUAGAUGCUACAGGGAUUGGCAUUCCUUUUACAAUUAAUGGGAGAAUCCAAUUAGUUCUUUUUAUAAAUUCAAUACAUUUGCUUUUGGGAUAAUUGCUCUUAAUUUCUCCCAAAUAGUUGUUUACAAGCUCAGUGUCAAUCUUCAUUGAUCACCCAUAAUGACAUGAUCUCAGCAUUAGUGUAAGGUGGUAUGCUUUCUGCCACGUUUGUUCCUGACAAUUGGCAUAGUGUUAUUCUAUCCUUUAUGAUUAAAUCAGAAACUUUUUCUACAUGAGUCUUUUUACUUUGUUUGUGCUAAGAAAUUCCAUUCCAUAAUACUGUCUUCCCUUUGCAUAAUGAGCCCCAUAGCAGAAUUAAUUGAAGGCAAAAUCACCGAAACACAAAUCAAGUUUGAGAUCUGUGCAGUCCACAUAUGCACCCUUCAGUCUCUGUUCUUCCAGAAUAAACUCUCUCUUCGCUUUAGCUGUUCGCCAUCUUGGACUGUUUAAGUCUGCAUCUCCUUGUAACAUUUGAAACAAAUUACUUACCUUUGAGUAGUUAACCUAAUGGUAGACUACAGCCAGCUAAUAUCUCCCAUGAAUUUUUGAAAAUCGUUAAGUGUGUUGGGGUCCAGGAGUUUCCCCACAAACCACACAAACACCAGUCUCAGUCAGACUGAGACGGUUUAUUAAAUGCAUACCCUAAAACUGAUCGACCAGGGCUGUAGCACAGAAUUUAGGGGCUAAGGGUAUGACCUCGAGCAUUUCUCAGGACUGACUUAUAAAGGAAAAACUCACAAGGAGCUCUCAUGCAGGUGCAGAAAGUGCUGCCUGGUGGUUGGCUCUGACUCAAGCUAUUUGGCUAGCUAGCCAGAACAGUUCUAAUUGACCUAAGUGGAGCUUAUAGUUGUAGAAUUUCUUAAGAUUAACAAAGCUCAGAAUAUACAGAACAUAACAGGAUAUGUGGUCAGCGUGACCCUACUCUAAGUCAUUUUUUUCUAUGUCAAUGUCUGGCUGACAUAUUACAACAACAGUAUUAAAUAGCUGUCAGUCAUGGAACAAAAUGGCUACAACUAUGCUGGGGAUGGGGGCAGACCUGAACAUUUCCCCCUUAGAGUUGUUCCAGUGAGAAAAAC
rnacentral:lncRNA from 1 species